CUCUUAGAAUAUGACUAUUAGGAAAUUGGAAGACUUAAUGCACUUUACAUCUUUUAAAGUGUGGGCAGUGCUGUUCUAGGGCCUGUAAUCCCUCCUUUGAUUUGAGGACACUUUGGUGCCAAAGGCACCAGAACCACAGAAUGUUAGACCCGAAGAGGACUUAGAGCGUAUCUAGGCCGGUGGUUUUCAAACUGUGUUAGGAUGAACCACAGGGAAUGGAGACACCAGUGCCAGGCGAAGGGUAAAGCCAGAGCCCUGGUGGUAAGCUGGAGGAGCUCUGAGACCAUGCACCCACCCCCUACCCCCAACUUGAGAUGUAUUCUUCUGUUCCUGAGACUCCAAAGUAAGAUUUCAUCUGAAGAAAGAACUCCAGUUGGUAUUUUGUUUUGUUUUGUUGUUUUAAUUCUGGCCCAUCAUUUUACCUAUAAGGCAACUGGAGGCCCAGGGAAUGGCAAUGACCUGGCCGAAGCCAUGCUUGACCUCAGGACUCAACCUCAACUUCAUCUCAAGGUCCAGUGUGGCCUCUACAGUGGAGGAAGUGACUGACCUGUUGGGGACUAAUAAACUCCCUGUCUCAACUGGGAGGCAACUGGACACCUUUCCAAACUCUUCCUCCCCCUCCACUCGUCCCUCCGUUUGUGACCUCAGAAAUACCUCCUGCUCUUUGUCAAAACAGAUUCUGGCUAGGUCCAUGUGUGUGGAUCAUUGACACAACUUCUUUUCUUUAUGAAAAUACCAAACAAAAAACUCACUGGUGGUUGGUUUCCAGGAACGUGUUGCUCUGGGAUGGAAGGCCUAUUAUUAUUGUGUGUUGCUACAUCAAAGACUUAACAUUUUCCCCUUUGCCAGGCUGAGCGAUCAUCUUCUCAUUAGAAAAUGCUGUCAGACCCACAGUGGCUCAGCCCCAGCAGGCUGUGACUGAGAGCUGUGAAGGGACCUCCUGGGAUGCCAAGACAAGCCCAAGCCUCCAAGGGACUGAACUGGCUUUAAAGAUCUGGCAUUUGGAAAAUAAGAAUAACGGGUGCGGAGUCUUGUUUCGUUCUGUGCCCAGCACUGCUGCAAGUGAUCUACGUGCAUUAACUCACUCAAAGCUUCACAUCCGCAUCGCGGCUAUAAGUAAUCGACAUGCGGUUGGAUCAUUAUAAGAUCUCAGCAUAGGAGCCUAAAGAGUGGACUUCUCAAAAUGAAGAGGUCACAGUCACAAAACCACAUCGGAGACUAAAGCGUCCUCUAUUUCUGCAGCUACAUAGUGUUUUCAGUUUCCCUGGCUCUUUAUCAGGAAUGUGUGGGGAGCUUGACUCCAAAUCUACAACUCUGCUUCAUCCUCCCCAGUUUCUAGCAGACCAGAAGCCUGUUCUCUAGACCAGAGCUUCUCCAACUCUAGAUUCACACAGAUUUUUACCGGAGUAUCUUAUAAAAAUGCUGGCUCCGAUUCAGUAGGGUGGAGAUGCGACCCAAGAUUCUACAUUUCCUAAUACACUUCCCCAUGAUUUUGAUGCAGCUGGUCCACAGAUCACACAUCUGGACCCAGACCAUCCAAUUCAGUAGCCACCAGCCAUGUGUGCCUCUUUGAGCAUUUGAAUUGGGGCUAAUCUGCAUUAACAUUGACUCUAAGUGUAAAAUACAUACCAGGUUUUGAAGAUUCA